GACGAACGCUGGCGGCGUGCCUAAUACAUGCAAGUCGAACGAGAGCGCCCGGUGCUUGCACUGGUCAAUCUAGUGGCGAACGGGUGAGUAACACGUGGGUAACCUGCCCAUCAGAGGGGGAUAACAUCCGGAAACGGAUGCUAAAACCGCAUAGGUCUUCGAACCGCAUGGUUUGAAGAGGAAAAGAGGCGCAAGCUUCUGCUGAUGGAUGUACCCGCGGUGCAUUAGCUAGUUGGUGAGGUAACGGCUCACCAAGGCCGUGAUGCAUAGCCGACCUGAGAGGGUGAUCGGCCACAUUGGGACUGGGACACGGCCCAAACUCCUACGGGAGGCAGCAGUAGGGAAUCUUCCGCAAUGGACGCAAGUCUGACGGAGCAACGCCGCGUGAGUGAAGAAGGUGUUCGGAUCGUAAAACUCUGUUGUUAGAGAAGAACAAGUGCUAGAGUAACUGUUAGCGCCUUGACGGUAUCUAACCAGAAAGCCACGGCUAACUACGUG
rnacentral:rRNA from 1 species